rnacentral:rRNA from 1 species
UACGGAGGGUGCAAGCGUUAUCCGGAUUCACUGGGUUUAAAGGGUGCGUAGGUGGGCAGGUAAGUCAGUGGUGAAAUCUCCGGGCUUAACUCGGAAACUGCCGUUGAUACUAUCUGUCUUGAAUAUCGUGGAGGUUAACGGAAUAUGUCAUGUAGCGGUGAAAUGCUUAGAUAUGACAUAGAACACCGAUUGCGAAGGCAGCUAACUACACGAUCAUUGACACUGAGGCACGAAAGCGUGGGGAGCAAACAGG